rnacentral:rRNA from 1 species
ACCUGCCUAUAUCACCCUGCAGCCCAAGACUGGUUGCCCACUGAAGCUAAGCAGGGCUGAGCCUGGUCAGUACCUGGAUGGGAGACCUCCUGGGAAAACUAGGUUGCUGCUGGAA